UAAAUUUGACAGAAUCAUCACCGGCGUUUUACUCAAGGUGACAAUUUACGUUUACAUUUGGAAACAGUAGUUUAAUUUAAAUCGUCAAUAAAAAGAAAUGGGUGGCGACGUUGAAGCUCCGUUUGAACUUAAAGGGUGGAGAGCUUAUUUUAACUCCUACACUAUUAAAGGAAGAAUAAAUUGUGUUGUCGCAUCAGUGGCUACCCCUUUUGUCUUCUAUGGACUUUUUAAAAUGACAAGAGGAAAGAAACAAAUUGCAGAGAAAUAGACUCUCCUCAAAUUAAAAUUUCGUUGUUUUGGAUUUUGACAAAAUAAAGCAAUUAUAAACUGAUUUACUGAAUACAUUUUUCAGUAACUAUUUAAUACCCUUGAAUUAUUUAAUAAACAGUCAGUCAGCAGCACAUUGUUACAAAUUUCUCAAUAAUGAUGCUAUCCUAUUACACACAUACAUAGGCAAGCUUUGAAGAAACUACAGUACUGCUUCAUAUAUCUGUACAUACCACAAUCACUGUUACACACAGGUACAUAAUAAAACCGGUUACACUAUCUCACUUACCCAAACAAUGAUAAAGUUUCAAACUGUUAAUUUAAUCUUAAUUACACACAUAGCCAGGCUUUGAACCAACUACAGUACUGCUUCAGAAGUCAAUACAUACACACUUACUAUAAAUAAAACCUGUUAUCACAAUCAUUAUACAUAAAACCAGUUGCACACUUAACCAAAUCAUGAAAUGUUUAACUGUUCGUUUAAUUUGGUCCUAAUCAACACGAUUAAAAACUAACGUCAUUAAAGCUGAAAUGCAAGCUAUUAUAAUAGGUUCAAUUUCACAGCAA